UACAGAGGUCUCAAGCGUUGUUCGGAUUCAUUGGGCGUAAAGGGUGCGUAGGCGGCGGGGCAAGUCGGAUGUGAAAUCUCAGGGCUCAACCCUGAAACUGCAUUCGAUACUGCCUUGCUCGAGGACUGGAGAGGAGAUUGGAAUUCACGGUGUAGCAGUGAAAUGCGUAGAUAUCGUGAGGAAGACCAGUGGCGAAGGCGGAUCUCUGGACAGUUCCUGACGCUGAGGCACGAAGGCCAGGGGAGCAACAGG
rnacentral:rRNA from 1 species